rnacentral:rRNA from 1 species
CUAGCUUGCUAGGUGGAUUAGUGGCGCACGGGUGAGUAAUAUAUAGAUAACGUGCCUCUUAGUCUGGGAUAGCCAUUGGAAACGAUGAUUAAUACUAGAUAUUCCUUCUAACAAUAAUGUUAGUCGGGAAAGUUUUACGCUAAGAGAUCGGUCUAUAUCCCAUCAGCUAGUUGGUAGUGUAAGAGACUACCAAGGCAAUGACGGGUAGCGGGUUUGAGAGGAUGAUCCGCCACACUGGUACUGAGACACGGACCAGACUCCUACGGGAGGCAGCAGUGAGGAAUAUUGCACAAUGGAGGAAACUCUGAUGCAGCAACGCCGCGUGGAGGAUGACGCAUUUCGGUGUGUAAACUCCUUUUAUAUGUCAAGAAAAUGACGGUAGCAUAUGAAUAAGCACCGGCUAACUCCGUGCCAGCAGCCGCGGUAAUACGGAGGGUGCAAGCGUUAUUCGGAAUCACUGGGCGUAAAGGACGCGUAGGCGGGAUGCCAAGUCUGAUGU